rnacentral:lncRNA from 1 species
UUUUUUUUAUUAAAAAACAAUUUGUUCUGUAAUGCUUUGUUAAUAAAGAAAAAAAAUGCAUACAAAAAAUUGGUAGGUAAUUAUUGUAUAUCUAUAUGUAGUCUAAAAAAAGACUUAUAUAUAAAAAAUAUUUUAUUGUAAACAUUUUGAUAUAACCUCAGAGUUUGUAUACAGUCUUUUAUUAUCCUCACAAUCUAAGAAUAUUACCAUAUGAAUAUUUACUUCCAAAUUAACCCUGAAUAAUAAGUUAUAAUACCAUGAUAAAUAGCAUUGUUUUUAAACUUCUGAACAUAGACUUGGAAAUGUAUAAACAAGCUAAGCAUUGAUGACAAAGUGUAGAUUUCCAUGUCAUUGAAGUUACUAUAUAGGGUAGUUCAAGGAAGGUGAUGCCUGAUUAAAUGUACAAGGAGCAUAUGAGUAACUUGCAAUAUUAUUAGGAUUAGGUAAACGCAACACUAUAUACACUUCAUUUGUGGUAAUAUGUGGACAGAGGUUUUUUGAGUCUAUCUGUUCACUUUCACAUUUAUGAGACAUAGUCAAUUUAUUUAGAAUUUCACAAUAUAUGAAUUUAUUGUCAUUUCCAAGUGCAUAAAAUGCA